GACAGAGGAUGCGAACGUUGUUCGGAAUUACUGGGCGUAAAGCGCGUGUAGGCGGUUCGGCAAGUCGGAUGUGAAAGCCCAGGGCUCAACCCUGGAAGUGCACUCGAAACUGCCGAACUGGAGUCCCGGAGAGGAAGGCGGAAUUCUCGGUGUAGAGGUGAAAUUCGUAGAUAUCGAGAGGAACACCUGUGGCGAAGGCGGCCUUCUGGACGGUGACUGACGCUGAGACGCGAAAGCGUGGGGAGCAAACAGG
rnacentral:rRNA from 1 species